CAACCUGAGGAGCGUUGCGACAGAUCACCAACGGUGCAUCUGCCAGGCUCAGGUUGACGGCACAAAUAGCAACGGCGCUCAGUGUGA
rnacentral:ncRNA from 2 species